UGGACAAUGAGGCAACUCUGAGUCCGUUGGUAAUAAAAUAUAGCUUAUAAGGUAAGAACAGGAGUGCAGUUUUUCAUCCGCUCCAGCAGGCCGCGUCAUCGAGCUUUAGUUUAGUUACGUUACAGCUUCGGAUGCUUGACAACAACUCUUGAUAACAGUCGAAACAACACGUACUACAGACAAGUAUAACUUAUGCAUAUGGAAGCUCGGUUAAAAACUUCCAUAACCACUUAACAGCACACAUUUCAGACCAUAAACAAACCAAACUGACAAACGCUGUGAUAAAGCGCAGGAAUAGAAGGUGUCACGCGACUCGCCUAAUAUAAAGAAGAGUUACACUCAACAGAAGCACGUGGACACACAUUAAUGAUGGACAUCUGCUUAUGCACAGAAUAAGAGGUGUCUUGUUGGUUGUAAACUCGUCAAUCUGAAGCAGAGCUCUGGGACGUGUGGACAGACAUCGCCUGUAACGAUGGACAUCUGCUCAUGGCCAGUCUGUCCAAAAGCAUAACCACUGCGGGUCACAGUGCCGGAAGCUCCAGGGGGAGACCGUACUGGUAUCCCCCUUCUUUAGGCGCGCCUUCACACACACACACACCACCAUUCACUCAUAUCACAGAGACCUGGCUGGGAUUGAACCAGCAACCUCUGAACCCAUGAGGCAGUACUCUUACCUGUGAGCCACAGGUCUCUUGUUGGAAUAAAGGAAGGAACUUAUAUUUGACUGUUUAACUGUGAUUACCCAAUAAAGAAGUUAAAUCAAGCUGGGUACAUGAUUUUUAGAGGUGGGAUUUGAACCCAUGUCUCCAGGACAAUCUCAUCCUCAGAGAACAUGUGUUUAUCCACUCACCCACCAUGGAUUCCCCUUACUUUUUUUGGCAUGAGUAAGCAGUAUAGGGAUUUGAACUCAGAGCUCCCAGAUUAUAAGACAAUGCUUUAUCUCCAGAGCCACUGAGUCUGUGGAGUGAAGGUUUGUCUCAAGCUCAUCCUCAGAGAAUGUGUGUUUAUUGACUUACCCACCAUGUAUUCCUCAUUGUGUUCUGGCAUUUGAGUGAGUUUUUUGUUUGAGAUCAAUGUCAAGUAAGCAGUAGUGGGGUUUGAGUCCACAUAUCCCAGAUUAAACAAUGCUUUAUCAACUGAGCCACUGAAGCUAUAAACUCUGAACGUCAUUCAAUUUAAUAACAAUUUUAAAGUCACCAAUUGUGGGAUUUGAACGAAAAUGUAUCUCCUAACCCACUGAGUCUUGUGAGAUAAAAGAUCUUUUGGGCAGAUUUUUUUGCGUGUUGUGUAUGAUAUGAAGAAAAGCAUUGAGCUUUAGAACUGAUGUCUCAGUCGCAGCAUUAUCUCAAAUGACUGGUGUUUAACCACUAUAGCAUUCACAACAGCAACAUCCAUUCAGAGAGCUUCAUUUGAUUUAAUGAAAACGCUUUCAAGUAAACCCUUGUGGGAUCUCCCAGACAGAAAGAUAAAACAUCUUCUUCUGAGCCAUUGAAUCUGGGAGUUUGAUAAGUAUUUUGGACAAGGUUUUAGUGAGAGCUUUGUUUAAAAUAAUGAAAAGCCUUAACAAGUGUGGGAUUUGAACCCAAGUCCUAAUUAUAACCGUAUCUAAAUAGCAUAUCUAACCACUAAAUCACUGUGUUCUCAACAUGCAACAGGGACAUUUCGAAUACCUUGUUAAAUUUAACAUAAGCAAUAGUGGGAGUUGAACUCAGAACACCAAGAUAAAAAAAAAAAAGCUUUAUCAACAUAUUAAAGUCAAAGUUAUCCUCUGAGUUUGCAAUUACUUGUUUUGGGGUGUUUUUCAUGAGAUUUCACAGGUCAUGCUGAAAUUACCUGAUUAUUCAGAAAUGAAUCAUGAGUGACAUUCUCUCAAAUGAGAUCAAAUAUUCCGAUCAGUUUUUAACAAGCCAUACAGU